ensembl:lncRNA
AACUAAUUGAACAGCUCAGAAGAAAAAGAACCACGGAAAUCACAAUGCACUGGGCCGAUUGAGAGGGUUUUUUCUUGAUAAAAACCUUCAAAAUAAGAUUUUUUUUUUUUUUUUUUUUGAGAAAUCAGCCACCUGUCAAUCUAGAAAGUGGUUUCAUCGGUACAGAAAUUCCUAAUGAGACUGGAAUGCUUAUCUUAAGGCAUAUAAUAAUUAUGUGGUAAUGGACAGACAGAGGAAUGCCAUUCAAGCCAAUCCUAGCGCCAAAGUGUGUAAAGUUAUUCAUGCAUACAAGUGUUGAGACUGGGCUGGGUAAGAUUCUGCUCACCAAUGUUUAUGCAAUUAGUCCAUAAAAUGGUGGUGAUUCCCAAUAAAAUAAGCCUCAAGUGGCUGCAAGGAAUGCAGAACUCCAUGAAGUUUGAGAGCAUCCUUUGGUCUUUGACCAGGGACUGCAUGCAUCCUCAGUCAGUUACCAGGUCUUAGCUGGAAGCCAGGAUCAAACAGCUGAGAGAUGAUAGAAAACAGCUCCAGAAACUACUUCUCACUUAUUCCCAAACAUAUGAGCUCUUCCAACCUGCUUGUUUGAUUUUGGCAUGAGCUUCCCAUUUUCUCCAAAAAGGGGUUACAUGAUUUACUGUCUUUUGGAAAUGGUAGCAAAAGAACCUUUUGUUGCAUUUUACAGAGAAUUUCAGGUAGCCUGACAUCACAGUAAGUUAAAGAACCACUACCAUUUCAUGUUGAAGAAAACAAUACUUCCUAUCAGAAAAGAAAGGAGGUCAUCUUGGUCGAAGAUUUCCUGAAGAAGAAAGACAUGUGGAAUGAAUUCGACAUUUUAGGAAAAGAAAAGUUAUCAUUCUUGGCCAUGAGCCAGCAGUGUGCCCUGGUGACCAAGAAGGCCAGUGAUAUCCUGGGAUGCAUUAAAAAGAGCGUGGCCAACAGGUCAAGGGAGGUUAUCCUCCCCCUCUACUCUGCCCUGGGGAGGCCCCCUUUAGACUACUGUGUCUAGUUCUGGACUCCUCAGUUCAAAAAGGACAGAGGUCUUCUAGAAGGAGUUCAGCAGGGGGCUGCAAAGAUAAUAAAGGGAAUGGAGCAUCUCUUGUACGAGGAAGACUGAGUAACCUGGAUCUGUUCAGCCUGGAGAAAAGAAGACUGAGAGGGGAUCUGAUAAAUAUUUGUAAUUAUCUAAAGGGAGGCGGGAGACAAAUGGAUGAGUCCAGGCUCUUCUCGGUGGUAUGUAGCAAUAGGACAAGGAGUAAUGGCCUCAAACAUGAACCUAGGAUGUUCUGUACUAACAUGCAGAAGAAUUUCUUCAUGGUGAAGGUGACAGAGCACUGGAACAGGUUGCCCAGGGAGGUUAUGGAUUCUCCUUCUAUGGAAAUAUUCAAGACCCAGCUGGACACCUACCUGUGAGAUGUAUUAUAGGGUACCUGUUUUAGCAGUGGAGUUAAACUUGAUGAUGUCUUGACAUUCCUUCCAACCCCAUCGAUUCUGUGAUCCUCUCUUCCAUAGCCAUACCUUUUUAUAUUUUCACCCCAGAUAAUCAUUGAGAAGAUUGUACUGAUCAGUAAGUUAAUUUUAGUCUAACCAUAACACUGAGCUGAACUUCUACUUACUUUGGUACUUCAAGUAUUUCUUAGCUUACUUAUCUCACUCAGUAUCCAGCAAGAUAUAUUUUUCUUGUCAUUAUUGUAAUACUUGCUAGUUUAUUGAAAAAAGCCUUAUAACGACCAUCAUCUCUUAGAUUGGCAGAGAAAGGAUACUUUUUAAAGACACUGAAUGAGUUAAGGGGAACAGGAAUACUUCUGAUAAUGUUGAGAAUUGAAUUUGGAAAUCUAAAGUGAAUCUCAGACAUGGAAAGUUAUACAAGAUGGACUGGAUUCUGAGGAUUUUGAGAAGCUUAUUCUUAUGCAAAAAUAAUUAUUAUUAUUUUACAAAAAGAAUUUCAGAAAAGGGUUGUUUAGAGUUUUACUGCUUCUGCAGGUAUGAAAUAAAUCAGAUCUUCAAAACUUCACCUGUCACAGAAGACAUCAAUAAAUUUGAUAGAAAUGCUUCAAUUCCUGUCAAAAUGCAUGGGGAAAAGUGCACUAGCAAACAGUGGUUGGAAACCGUCAAAAGCCUCCUGAGCUAUAACAGUGAUGACUGUCAGGGACAUUUAAUGUUUGAACACUGGUGGCAUUCUCAGACUAAGAGAUCCCUGAUGUAUCCCAGCAUGGCUGAUGUAGUAAUUAGUGAUUACCUUACCCACAUCAUACCUUUGGAACAGUGCUAGCCAUAUACUUUACAAUCUUGCCAAAAUAACCUCAAUAGCCAAUAAAUGCGUUGGAAAGGGCAAGAGUUGACAGAUAGAAGGUACAGGUACAUCAUAAAAUGAGUUCACUGUUAACCAGAAAGGAUAGCUGCUUUUUGAAGUUAAUUUAUUCCAUAAAUUAAUGUUACUCUUAUAAAAGAGGUGGGCAAAUAGCUAAUAUUUCGUAAGAGCAGCAGCACUUUAUGUUUCACAUGCAAAGUUUCUCACACAAGCCUGUCCCUCCUGUCCAGCUUUCCUCAUUAUUUCCCAAAAGGCAAUUGGUCUAGUAAAACAAGAAGAGCAGUAGUAUGAGUAUGAAGCCUUUUUCAUCUUUCCUGUGCUCUUUUUUUAAUGGUAUGAGAAGUUAUAUUUGAAUUUGACAAGAAAAAGCAAUAAAGCAAACACUUGGAGCAGGCAGUUUUCUCUUUCCUGUCCUCCUAAAAAUCUUCAAAAACAAUAACAAAAUUAAAUACAGAACAUUAAAUCUAUAUAGCAAAAGUCAAGAAAUCCACAAAGUUUUCAACAACUACUGAUCAGAUUCUCUAAAUAUCGCAUUCAUAAUCCUGUUUCCUUGUUAAAUGUGAAACUUAAUAGGUUAUUGAUUACGCUAUAAAAUCCAUACCAUAAAAUAUAUAAGAUAUGAGCAGUGAUAAUGUUGAGGUAGCUCUUGCAGCAUUAAUUUUUAUGUUUCUUGACUGUGGAUUUUAACUACAAUCUUAAAUGUUAUAUUUUUAUACUGUCAGUUCAUAUAGCUAUUACUGAAAUAAAUUGCAGUUACCUUUAGCAUUUACCAACAGACAUAUUUUCCUCUAGAAAAGUAUGACAAUGGUAUUUUCAUUCAAAAUUUGUUGUGACAGUUAUGGCAAACCUGGAUAGUAACAGUCUUACUGGCAGGAUGCUUAUCUUUUUUACUAGUUCAGAAAGAUCUGAUUGAUGUGAGAGAUCAAGGUCUCUCUAAAGAUAAUUUAGCCAUUUCCAUACAGUUUACGCUUGUGUUAGCUGUAUCCUGCAAGGGAACUCCCAGGAGGAUUUUCUCUGACCUUCCCUCUAAAAGGUAACACAUAAGAGAUUCCUAAAGGAACCAUCAUCUAACAAGACUAAUGAUAGCUUCCAUGCCUAUUAUCAUUCAGUGAGAGUGAAAGAGACUUUAAAAAUGCAGUACCACAUUCCUCCCUUGAUGUUUCUCAUGAUCUAUUAAGGUAUUAGAUGCCAGAUAAAUUAAUCAUUAAAAACUUACAGUUAAGACUUUACAAAUAAUAACCAGGUGUACUUUGAUUAUUUUUUAUCUCACUAUAUAUAUUUAUAUAUUUCUGUCACUAAGCACAAACCACAAAAACGAAUUUGUUUAUUAAUGGCUAAUGGCUAGAUAAAGUUCAUGAAAAGGACUGAAUUCUCCAGCCUUUCAAUGUGUUGGAAAGUCAGGAGGAUUACAGAAAAACAUCCCUUAUUUAUUUUUGAAACAGCUAAUGAUUUGUCACUCAGCUAUCCUUUCAAGCUAUUUUGGUGAGUGUGAGCUACUGUGAUGACUUUUAAUUAGUUCAUAUAGCCUAGUAUUUGAUUUAUUUAUUCCCAAUCAGUAAUGCUUUGCCUAAAAGUUCCUCCAGUAUAGAGUUUCUACAGAGAGUUUGCUUGGAAACUGAUUUUUAUUACAGAAGCAAUUCUUCUGUACCAUCUUUUUUCAGCACGAAAGUCAUGAUCUAUAUUUCUGUUUAACCCUUUGUCAUCAAAAUAAGAUUAUUGGCAUAUUUUCCAAUGUAAUCUAGUUUACAUUUUUAGUUAAGAAAAAUAAAAAGCUUUCAGUGUAGUGAUGACUUGUUGAAUUUCACUGCUGUCAUAAAGAUAUAUUUAUUUUCUUCAGGGUUUGUGUUGAGUUCGUCCUAUGGGGACUGUGUGCCUUCAUUUCUCCGGUGAACAUGUUGCUUUCUACAGAUUUUAAGUUUUAAAACAAAAAAUGAUUGAUCUGUAUGGCUGUAGCUUAAGUUUCCUGACGUGAGUAAGUUCAGUUGUAUUUCUAGAUCACUAGAUAGGCAUGCAUUUGCACUGAGUAUGAUGUUUCUUCACUGGAGUACAACAAAUGCAUAUGAAUUCAACAAAGUAAUUAUAAAUGUGAUUUUAAAUGAUGAAUCAGUAUUCCAGAAAUAUUGUUUCUUGAUUACUUAAUCAGCAAAUUUAUCAUUUCUUAAUGCCUUUUCAGGUUUGAUAUUUUUAGGGUCUUGAUUUUUCUACACAGAUAUUUGAAAAACUGCACCAGAAUCUACUCUAUUCAUACAGUUUAG